rnacentral:rRNA from 1 species
UACGAAGGGGGCUAGCGUUGCUCGGAAUCACUGGGCGUAAAGGGUGCGUAGGCGGGUUUUUAAGUCAGAGGUGAAAUCCUGGAGCUCAACUCCAGAACUGCCUUUGAUACUGAGAAUCUUGAGUUCGGGGAGAGGUGAGUGGAACUGCGAGUGUAGAGGUGAAAUUCGUAGAUAUUCGCAAGAACACCAGUGGCGAAGGCGGCUCACUGGCCCGAUACUGACGCUGAGGCACGAAAAGCG